GUCGGGAUUUGAGCGUACCAAAACAAACUCGAAAUCAUCGUCGUCGACGUCGCCAUAGCUGCCGCUACUUUCGUUCUCGUUUUGGUUCCUGGAAACAGGAGCUCCGUUAUUUGCUUCCUCUUCCUGCUGCGAUACACGCCAGUUGAUCAGAGGAGUAGCUAUUGAAGCUGAGACAAAAGGACACCGUAGAUCCUGGAUCUUGCAUUUCGAACUGCUCUUUUCAGUUUCCCAGAUAGAGAGAGAGUGAGAGAGACAAAAAACGGGGAGAGAGAAAGAGACUUAGGCAG
rnacentral:misc_RNA from 1 species